CACCAAGGUCCUUAUGGGAACUCU
rnacentral:siRNA from 1 species